GAUGAACGCUGGCGGCGUGCCUAAUACAUGCAAGUCGAGCGAACGGACGAGAAGCUUGCUUCUCUGAUGUUAGCGGCGGACGGGUGAGUAACACGUGGAUAACCUACCUAUAAGACUGGGAUAACUUCGGGAAACCGUAGCUAAUACCGGAUAAUAUUUUGAACCGCAUGGUUCAAAAGUGAAAGACGGUCUUGCUGUCACUUAUAGAUGGAUGCGCGCUGCAUUAGCUAGUUGGUAAGGUAACGGCUUACCAAGGCAACGAUGCAUAGCCGACCUGAGAGGGUGAUCGGCCACACUGGAACUGAGACACGGUCCAGACUCCUACGGGAGGCAGCAGUAGGGAAUCUUCCGCAAUGGGCGAAAGCCUGACGGAGCAACGCCACGUGAGUGAUGAAGGUCUUCGGAUCGUAAAACUCUGUUAUUAGGGAAGAACAUAUGUGUAAGUAACUGUGCACAUCUUGACGGUACCUAAUCAGAAAGCCACGGCUAACUACGUG
rnacentral:rRNA from 1 species